GUGCGAUCCGCCCUGGCCGGGGAGAGCCGCGUCCGAGAGGAGGCCCUGCCGGACCUGCACUACCUGCGUCUCGUGCUCAAGGAGACGCUCCGGCUGCACCCGGCGGCGCCGCUGCUGCUCCCGCGGGAGUGCCCCGAGUCCCGACAUGUCCUCGGCUACACCGUGCCCAAGGGCGCCAUGGUGCUCGUCAACGCGUGGGCCAUCGGCCGGGACGCGGCGACCUGGGGCGCCGACGCCGAGGAGUUCAGGCCGGAGAGGUUCGAAGAGGAGGCGGCGCUGGACUUCAAGGGAACCAACUUCAAGUUCGUGCCGUUCGGCGCCGGCCGGAGGAUGUGCCCUGGGAUCGCCUUUGGCCUUGCGGUCGUGGAGCUCGCACUGGCCAGCUUCCUCUUCCAUUUCGACUGGGAGCUCCCCGCCGGUGGGCUGCACAUGGAGGAGCAGCUCGGGGUCACGGCCAGGAGGAAGGGCGACCUCUGGCUGCAUGCCACAGUUCGGGUGCCUGUGCCUGCACUUGCUCUAUAG
rnacentral:rRNA from 1 species